CCCGACCGCUAUCGGGGUAAGACUAAGCCAUGCAAGUCAACGGGUCUAAAAGACCCGUGGCGCACGGCUGAGUAACGCGUGGUCAACUUACUCUCGGGACGGGAAUAACCUCGGGAAACUGAGGCUAAUUCCCGAUAGGUGAAGACACCUGGAAUGGGUCUUCACCGAAAGGGGUGUAGCAAAAUGUUGCUACACCCGCCCGAGAAUAGGACUGCGUCCUAUCAGGUAGCUGGUGGGGUAACGGCCCACCAGGCCUAUAACGGGUAGGGGCCGUGAGAGCGGGAGCCCCCAGAUGGGCACUGAGACAAGGGCCCAGGCCCUACGGGGUGCAGCAGGCGCGAAAACUCCGCAAUGCGGGCAACCGCGACGGGGUUACCCCGAGUGCUACCCGCUGAGGGUAGCUUUUCCUCGGUCUAAAAAGCCGAGGGAAUAAGCGGGGGGCAAGACUGGUGUCAGCCGCCGCGGUAAUACCAGCUCCGCGAGUGGUCGGGACGAUUAUUGGGCCUAAAGCGUCCGUAGCUGGCCCAACAAGUCUUCCCCAAAAUUCCAUGGCUCAACCAUGGAGACGGGGAAGAUACUGUUGGGCUAGGGGGUGGGAGAGGCCGAGGGUACUUUCGGGGUAGGGGCGAAAUCCUAUAAUCCCGAAAGGACCACCAGUGGCGAAGGCGCUCGGCUGGAACACGCCCGACAGUGAGGGACGAAAGCUGGGGGAGCAAAGGGGAUUAGAUACCCCCGUAGUCCCAGCCGUAAACGAUGCGAGCUAGGUGUUGGGUGGGCUUCGAGCUCACCCAGUGCCGCAGGGAAGCCGUUAAGCUCGCCGCCUGGGGAGUACGGCCGCAAGGCUGAAACUUAAAGGAAUUGGCGGGGGAGCACCACCAAGGGGUGAAGCUUGCGGUUC
rnacentral:rRNA from 1 species